rnacentral:rRNA from 1 species
AAUAGAUACCCGGGUAGUCCACGCCGUAAACGAUGGAUACUAGCUGUUCGUCCGCCUCGGCGGAUGAGUGGCUAAGCGAAAGUGAUAAGUAUCCCACCUGGGGAGUACGAACGCAAGUUUGAAACUCAAAGGAAUUGACGGGGGCCCGCACAAGCGGUGGAGCAUGUGGUUUAAUUCGAUGAUACGCGAGGAACCUUACCAAGGCUUAAAUGUAGAUUGACAGGACUGGAAACAGUUUUUCUUCGGACAAUUUACAAGGUGCUGCAUGGUUGUCGUCAGCUCGUGCCGUGAGGUGUCAGGUUAAGUCCUAUAACGAGCGCAACCCCUGUUGUUAGUUGCCAGCGAGUCAAGUCGGGAACUCUAACAAGACUGCCAGUGUAAACUGUGAGGAAGGUGGGGAUGACGUCAAAUCAUCACGGCCCUUACGCCUUGGGCUACACACGUGCUACAAUGGCCGGUACAGAGAGCAGCCACUGCGCGAGCAGGAGCGAAUCUAUAAAACCGGUCCACAGUUCGGAUCGGAGUCUGCAACUCG